rnacentral:lncRNA from 1 species
AUGGCGUGGCAGCAAGGAGUGCAGCUGUGGACCAGAGAACUGACGGAGCUUUUGCCUGCAAUACUUCACGAUCCUCAACUGAGGGCGCCAUCGCUGACCGCUUUGCAUGUUGCCAUUUUUGCAAUAGACAUGGUGGGCCAGCAGACCUUUCAGUGGAUGGAGGCCCGAUCGGCUGCCAUGCUAGUGGGUAUCAGAAGGCAGCUAGCAAUAAUGUAUAAGUUCUCCAAAAGUGAGGGUGAGGUGAUCUUUAGAGUGCCACUUCCUGUGGGCCCCUGGCUGAAGGUGGAGGAGGCAGGUGUAACUGAAGUUCUUCUGGAGGAGUUUGUCAUGAAGCCUCUACUGGCCUUGAAUUCUGUGAGUCCUACAGCAGAACUCUACCGGCUGAAGAGGAGGAUAAUGGACAGUCCCGUUAACUAUCAGGCAUUUCUAGUGGAAGAUGUCUAUUUGGUGUCAUUUGAUGGACAUCUGCUCAAACUCCCAGCUUCCUGUGACUUCAUCCUAGCAGCUGAUGUCAUCCAGCACACCUUCAGCAUUGUGCUCAAAUCCGACAGGUUCAAACGUCGCUCGCUUGUGGUGCAAAUGCAAAACACAAAGAUUGCAAUUCACCCAAAUGGAGAGGUGGAGGUUAAUUGCCAGGUUGCACACAUACCAUACACUAACCGUGAAGUGGCUAUCAGAAAGGAUGUGAAUUUAAUUGAGGUGUCCAAUGAGAGAGGACUUCGGGUAUCAUGUGACCCUCAGCUAGAAGUUUGUAGUGUGAUCCUAGAUGGAUGGCUUCAUGGUGUGUCCACUGGUCUUUUAGGAACCAAUGAUAAUGAGGCAGCUAACGAGCUUCUUCUGCCAGAUGGCUCUCACACAAACAGUGUGCUUCAGUUUACUCACAGCUGGCAGGUGGAUUCAGAAUGUGUCAGCAGGAAAGCUGAAGUCUGUCAGAAUGGCACUGCUGACUCCCUGUCGUGUACAUUUCUGUUCUCCUCUGCAAAUUCUCCUCUGAGCCCCUGUUUCAGAGUGGUGGACCCUGUGCAGUUCAUGAUGAAGUGUGAAGGACUGGAGUGUGUAUGUGAUGAGCGUGCAGAGGUUUCCAGACCAUCCUUUUGCACAUUGGCCUCUGCCUAUAUCCAUCAAUGCCAUAGAAACUACGUUCCACUGGAGCUGCCAGUGCAGUGCGUGUAAGGGUGGUGUCCGGAUUACUCCAGUGAAGACAUGAAGCAUCAGCUGACCUGUUUGAAAAUUAACAGUAACAUGUACAAAAUCAUUACUAUAAGUAUCUUUAUUACUAAUACAGUUGUUAUUAUGUACUAUGACAAACUGUUUUUUUUAUAUAUAUUUUUGGUGCCUUUUUUACAAUAUGCAGCAUUUUAUGUAACCAAGAAAAUAGAAUAUUUUAUUAAUGAUAGUAAAUAAAUGUUAAAAAAUUCUAAAUGUAUUUGUAAAGUUAGAAAAUAAUACAUCAGUAUAAUUUAAUAUUUUUAUUGUUUUUAUUUAAUCUUUUUAGCAUAUUACAUGUUAGAUAACUGUGUUAAUUACUAGAGACUAGAGUAAUAACAACAACUAGCAUAUGUCUAAUUACAAGCAGCGCAACAGAGUAAUUACACAAGUAUUUUUUACUUUGAAGGUAUAUUUGCCACAUUCAUUUCAAUAUACGGAAGCUAUGUUUUUCUAAAUAAUUACUUAGAAAAUAAAUCAAAAGAUGAAGCAGUUUGGACACUACACAACUUCACUGUGUUAUGGAUGUGCAUUUAAAAAAGUUGAUCUUAAUGAUCUAUCUAUGAUAACGUAUAAUAAUGAAUAAUGUGCAUUAGCUCUCUACAUUGUAUUUGAUUCCCUGCCAAUAAAAGCUUCAUAGAUGUUUCUGUGUUAAAGUGAUGGUAUCGAAACAAGUAGUACAGACAGCAUGUGGGAGACGUUUGGGGGAUGCAUGACAGGUUUUCCAGACAUGAAGGAUGUUAGAAAUGUUCCUCUUACUCUGACUGGUGGUCUUGUGAGGAUCAUAUAAGAUCAGAGCCAUGUCAAGUCACUAUAAAAACUCAAAUGUGCGUUUUUGCAGAGGAACACCAUAACAGAUAUUUAUGGUCCUCAAGACGAUGGAUCUGUGGACUAGUUCUAUCAUGCUGCAGAUAAUUCAUGUGAAAGGUUAUUUUUAAACAUUACAUAGUUUGUAAAAGGCUCAUGGAUGGGUGGUCGUAAAUAUUCACAGUGAAAGUGCACUUUUUUCAGGAGUUCAUAAAAAGUUUAUGAAAAACUGAUAGACGAUAAAUUGAAUAAGCAUUUUACCGUACCAUCCUCCCUUUCGUCGAUGCUCUCUCCAAGCCUUAAAAAAAAAAAAAAAAAAAAAAAAAACUUUAUUCAAGUCCACUUUUGGUAGUUCUUUUUAACUAAAAAUUAAGAGUGUAUACUUUGAACCUACUUUUUUUUUUUCUCAGAGAUAUACCCUACAGCCUUAAAAAAAAAAAAAAAAAAACUUUAAAAUUACAAGUCCACUUUUGGUAGUUCUUUUUAACUAAAAAUUAAGAAGUGUAUACUUUGAACCACUUUUUUUUUUUUCUCUAGAGAUAUCCAAAAAAAAAUUAUACUUAAGU